AAUUAUUUAUCUUAAUAAAAGAAUUUGUUUUGAAAACAAAAAAUAAGAGUUUAAUCUCUUAAUAAUUU
rnacentral:tRNA from 1 species